GUACGUAGGGGGCGAGCGUUGUCCGGAAUGAUUGGGCGUAAAGGGCGCGUAGGCGGCGCGGUAAGUCUGGAGUGAAAGUCCUGCUUUCAAGGUGGGAAUUGCUUUGGAUACUGCCGCGCUUGAGUGCAGGAGAGGUUAUCGGAAUUCCCGGUGUAGCGGUGAAAUGCGUAGAGAUCGGGAGGAACACCAGUGGCGAAGGCGGGUAACUGGACUGCAACUGACGCUGAGGCGCGAAAGUGUGGGGAGCAAACAGGAUUAGAUACCCUGGUAGUCCACACUGUAAACGAUGAAUGCUAGGUGUAAGAGGUAUCGACCCCUUUUGUGCCGGAGUCAACACAAUAAGCAUUCCGCCUGAGGAGUACGGCCGCAAGGUUGAAACUCAAAUGAAUUGACGGGG
rnacentral:rRNA from 1 species